UACGUAGGGUGCGAGCGUUAAUCGGAAUUACUGGGCGUAAAGCGUGCGCAGGCGGCGCGUUAAGACAGGUGUGAAAGCCCCGAGCUUAACUUGGGAAUUGCGCUUGUGACUGGCGAGCUGGAGUGUGGCAGAGGGAGGUGGAAUUCCACGUGUAGCAGUGAAAUGCGUAGAGAUGUGGAGGAACACCGAUGGCGAAGGCAGCCUCCUGGGCCAGCACUGACGCUCAUGCACGAAAGCGUGGGGAGCAAAUAGG
rnacentral:rRNA from 1 species